rnacentral:misc_RNA from 1 species
UCCGGUUCAUCACCAGCAGUCUCCUUAGAGUCCCCACCAUUACAUGUUGGCAACUAAGGAUAAGGGUUGCGCUCGUUACGGGACUUAACCCAACAUCUCACAACACGAGCUGACGACAGCCAUGCAGCACCUGUCUCUGCGUUCCUUUCGGCACAACCAUAUCUCUACAGUCUUCGCAGGAUGUCAAGGGCAGGUAAGGUUCUUCGCGUUGCAUCGAAUUAAACCACAUGCUCCACCGCUUGUGCGGGCCCCCGUCAAUUCCUUUGAGUUUUAACCUUGCGGUCGUACUCCCCAGGCGGAAAACUUAUCGCGUUAGCUUCGAUACUAAACAGUCAUGCUGUCCAACAUCUAGUUUUCAUCGUUUACAGCGUGGACUAC